GAGACAAGGUCUUGCUCUGUCACCCAAGAUGGAAUACAAAGAAAUGGCAUGAUCGUAGCUCACUGUAGCCUCAAACUCCUAGCCUCAAGCAAUUCUCCUGCCCCCGCCUCCAAGUAGCUAGGACUACAGACGAAUGUUGGCUGUGACUCUUAUGAUGGUGAGAAAAGUUAUGACAUCAUUCCAUCCCUACAGUUUCUGGUGCCCAUCGUGGACCAGCUGAACACUUGACUCACUCCAGAGCCUGCAGAUGAGAUCCUGGGACAACUGACAAAAAGCCACCAAAAGGUUAAGACAUUUUUACAAAGUUGUUCAUGUGACAAAGAUCCAAAAGCAAUUGCAACAAAAGCAAAAAUGGACAAAAGGGACCUCAUUAAACUAAAGAGCUUCUGCACGGCAAAAGAAACUAUCAACAGAGUAAAAAGACAACUUACUAAAUGGGAGAAAAUGUUUGCAAACUAUGCAUCUGACAAAGAUUUAAUAUUCAGAAUCUAUAAGGAAUGUAAACAACGUAACAAGCAAAAUACAAACAAUCCCAUAAAAACAUGGGCAAAGGACAUGAACAGACACUUUCAAAAGAAGACAUACACACAGCCAACAAGCAUAUGAAAAAAUGCUCAACAUCACUGAUCAUUACAGAAAUGCAUAUCAACACCAUAAUGAGAUACUAUCUCAAACUAGUCAGAGAGACUAUCAUUAAAAAGCCAAAAAUUAACAGAUACUGGCAAAGUUACCAAGAAAAGGGGGUGCUUAUACAAUGCUGGUGGGAACAUAAAUUAGUUCAGCCAUUGUGGAAAGCAGUGUGACAAUUUCUUAAGGAAUUUAAACAGAAUUACCAUUCAACCCAGCAAUCCCAUUAUUGGGUAUAUACCUGAAGGAAUAUAAAUCAUUUUAUCAUAAAGACACAUGCACAUCUAUGUUCAGCACAGCACUAUUCACAAUAGCAAAGACAUGGAAUCAACCUAAAUGCUAAUCAAUGGUAGACUAGAUAAAGAAAAUGUAAUACAUAUACAACAUGGAAUACUAUGCACUCAUAAAAAAGAUUGAGAUCAUGUCCUUUGCGGUAGUAAUACGGUUGGAGAUAGAGGCCAUUAUCCUAGAAUUAUCCUAUCCUAAUCAUAUCCUCCUGUGAAUUAACACAGGAGCAGAAAACCAUAUAUGCAUGUUCUUACUAAAAAGUGAAAGAUAAACAUUGAGUACAAUUGGACAAAAAGAAGACAACAAUAGACAAUAUGCCUCAGGGCAUACUUGAGAGUGGAGGGUGUGGAUUGAAAAAUUACCUAUUGGGCACUAUGCUUAUUACUUGGGUGAUGAAAUAAUCUGUACACUGAACCCCUGUGACAUACAAUUUAUCUGUAUAACAAAUAUGCACAUGUACACCUGAAUCUAAAAUAAAAGUUAAAGAAAAGAAGUAGAAUUAUCUUAUACGUAUCCUAAAUGUAUGCUUGUUUGCAAAUAAUUUAAUGUAAUUUUUAUCUAUUUUAAUUUUUAAUGUUAAUGUUUUAUAUUUAAACAUCUAGUCCACACAUAAAAUUGCAUUCAUGUAUAAUAUUUUUAAUAAUGUAAAUGCAAAAGGUGUGUGAUUUAUUUUAAGAAAGACGUUGUAUUAUCAUUACCGUGUGUGCAUCAGAGAAUGGAUUAAGAAUAAUGCCAUUUUCUAUAUAGAUGUUUAAUACAUAACAUACAGA
rnacentral:lncRNA from 10 species